CGGUCCAUUUCUAUAUGUCGAUGAGGUUAUGCUACUUUGGGUGUUUGGGCGCCUGUAGUAUAUUCUUCCGUAGUCAAACCAAUCAAAAUUCUAAUUAUUCUGAUUCAUUAUCAAUUUUCACAGUGAUAAUAUAAAGUGUGGUAUCAACGCGAUGGGUUUUAUAAACUGGACGGAAUUAUUUCCCGGUGAAUGGAGUAGUACAAUAUUUAUUUUAUAUGUGGCACUUUUUAUAAACCAAGGAGUCCUAGUAACAUUGUCUCAACAUGAAGGAAAAUAUCAAUAUAAUACUGUGUUAGUAGUAUUAAUGACAGAAGUUCUGAAACUAAUUAUUUCGACUCUCCUAUACCUUCAGGAAAAUCCAAUGUCAUCAAUCCUGCACGACAUACAUAAAUAUAGAAAAGUGUUAACGUUGUACAUGGUACCUUCGUCAUUGUACUGUUUGUACAACAAUCUAGCUUUCUUGAAUUUAGCGACUUUUGAUCCGACCACGUACUUUCUUCUGCUGCAAUUUCGUGUCGUUAUAACUGGAAUUGUUUUUCAGGUGAUAUUUAAGAAGCAAUUAGCUACGAAACAAUGGAUAUCACUGAUCAUACUAACUGCUGGAUGUAUGAUAAAACACUUAAGCUUUGAUUUUUAUUCAAGUUUUUCAGAUACGAAUUUUAAGAUAGACGUCAAUAUUCUAUUCAUAUUUGUACAGACUAUAUGCUCAUGCCUAGCUGGUGUCUACAACGAAUACCUAUUGAAGAGCGAGGGAGCAAAUCAGGAGAAAUGUAAACUUGUAAGGAUUCUACAAAUAAUAGGGUAUUACACGAAAGGGUCGCAAAACGUUUAUUUUAAAAGGAAAUCGUUGCAGUCGUCCUCAUUAGGAUUCAUCUUGGGCACAGAGUUCGGCUGUCCAAAGACGCUUAUUUACUUGCAAUUCACGAUGUUAAGUUACCUACGAAGAAAAAAUUUGUCCGACAAAUCGCAGUGGCUUUGUUUGAUUACGAUGUACUUGCCAGUAGCACAGUUAUAGGACGGAGUAGCAACCGAAGUAGAGAUGCAAAAAAGGAUCAAGAUAUUCUCGAGCCGAAGAAAUUCGCCGCCCUGCAAGAACAGCUGAAGAAUCGACCGACCCUCUCGAACAAAAUCCCAUUGAAGUGAAUGUUGAUGAGUAGAUGAUUUCUCAUCCAGAAAAAGAAUCUGUAGAUGGAGAGAGGCUUUCUGACUUCGAUAUAGAUUCUCUUGGUGAAGACCUUCAUGCAGAGAGUAGAAUCCAAAAAGUAGUAGAUGAUAACGAUAGAGUUAUACAAAAUAAACCAAAAGAACCCAUCGAGAACGAACGUCUAGGGAAAGUCGUUGUAGAAGUGGAUCACGAAGGAAAGAAACCUUCAAGCUCAAAUCACCUUCAAUACCUCAAGCAGGACGAUGGAUACUUAGGCCAGACUGCCGAAAACGCACAGUUUCUAGAAGCAAACGGCGUUUAUCCGGAAACACUCCAAGGGGACCUCUCAGAGGACUUUCCAUCAAGCAGCGGUAUAACGGAGGCACUAACAGCAGUCUAUAAUGUCCUUAACAUUAAUUCAGUGACACCUGGUGAAAACGUAGACAGACCUCGCGAUAAUAAUAAUUUUUGGAGCGAUUCUGAUGG